rnacentral:rRNA from 1 species
GACGUAGGGGGCCAGCGUUGUUCGGAAUUAUUGGGCGUAAAGGGCGCGUAGGCGGCCUGGCAAGUGGAAGGUGAAAUCCCUCGGCUUAACCGAGGAACUGCCCUCCAAACUGCUUGGCUUGAGUCCGGGAGAGGUGAGUGGAAUUCCCAGUGUAGCGGUGAAAUGCGUAGAUAUUGGGAGGAACACCAGUGGCGAAGGCGGCUCACUGGACCGGAACUGACGCUGAGGCGCGAAAAGCGUGGGGAGCAAACGGGG